AUACGGAGGGUGCAAGCGUUAUUCGGAAUCAUUGGGUUUAAAGGGUCCGUAGGCGGACUAUUAAGUCAGAGGUGAAAUCCCACAGCUCAACUGUGGAACUGCCUUUGAUACUGGUAGUCUUGAGUUAUAUGGAAGUAGAUAGAAUGUGUAGUGUAGCGGUGAAAUGCAUAGAUAUUACACAGAAUACCGAUUGCGAAGGCAGUCUACUACGUAUAUACUGACGCUAAGGGACGAAAGUGUGGGGAGCGAACAGGAUUAGAUACCCUAGUAGUCC
rnacentral:rRNA from 1 species